CAUCCAGCGCGCGUAGCGUUGGCGCAGGUUGUGUAGCACCGAGGCCUCGUUGAGGUGCGUCAUCAUGGCCAUGUCCUCCAGCAAGUCGAAGCGGGGCGGGUUCAUGGGCUGCAGCUCUGAUUCCCGUACCAUCAGCACCUGAGGGAGGCGGAAGGCGGAGUGGAGGCCGCGUGGUGGAGUGGCAGGCAGGCAAGUGUCCGCUGACCUCCGCCUCUCCCCCUGUUUCCAAAGCACCCAGAAUCAGAAGCAUCAGCGCUGGAAGGGAAAUUGUCUCAUCCAGGCCCUCAGCUUAGCAGAGGGCACCAAGGCCCGGACGGGGAGGCCCAGGCCAGACUGCCGACCCCACUCCCAAGCUGCCGACCCCGCUCCCUGAGCACGGGAAAAUCAGGAACAGAAAGUGGCUUCGGUCAGGACCAGCAUGAGGGCAGCUGAGUUACUUGCAGCCCAGCCUACAAUGUGUCCACCCUGCUGGGCUGGAAAUGUUCUCUCCAGAAACCAUUCAAAGAACCACAGUCUUCUAGGCACUUAAGCAAAUCCGAAUGUGCUCGUGACUUCCAACACGCUGUGCAGGGAGGCACGGGGCAGACUGUUCACCGUCGGCAACUGUAAAGCACGAGAGACAACCCGAAGGACCUUCACAGGGGAAGAGGUAAAUGAAAUGUAUUCUCGUGCAAUGAAACCUAGAGCACAGUGAAAACGAAUGAAUGAAGUACUUUUCUCAACAUGGGCGACUCUCCAACGUGAGGCUGAAUAAGAAAAGCAUAAGCCACACAAGAAUACACACAGUGCACUACCAUCUAAAGCCCUCCCCAAACAGGAAAAAUGAUAUCAUGUGUUGUUUAAAAACACACACCCAGUGAAAGGAUUAAAAAUGCCUUGGACCUGCCUCACCCCAUAUGUAAAACUUAACUAAAAAUCGAAGACCUAAAUGUAAGAGUGGAAACUACGAGACUCUUAGAAGACACAGGUGUAAGUCUUCAUGAUCUUGGAUUAGGCGAUGGUUUCUUAGAUACGACACUCGAAGCACAAGCAGCCACAGGGAAAACAGACGAACUGGACUUCAUCAAAAAUCCGGGCUUCAAAGGACACUGUAAAAAAACAGCAAGACAGCUCACACAACAGGAGAAACUAUUUGCACAUCAUACAUCUGCUAAGGGUCUGGUAUCCAGAAUAUAUAAAAAAUUCUUUUUUUUUUAAUUGACUGGGUUUGGAGAGAGAGAGAGAGGAAGGGAAAGGAAGAGAGAGAAACAUCGAUUUGUUGUUUCACUUAUUUAUGCAUUCGUUGGUCUGUUCUUGUACGUGCCUUGACCGGGGAUCAACCCAGCAACCUUGGCACAUCAGGAUGGUGCUCUAACCAACUGAACUACCUGGCCAGGGAGAGAAUGUAUAAAGAAUUCUUAGAACUCAACCAUAAAAAGACAAGUCACCCAAUUUGUAAAUGGGCAGAAGACUUCAAUAGACAUUUUCCCAGAGGAGAUACACAAAUGGCCAAUAAGCACAUGAAAAGAUGCUCAUUGUUAGGCAUUAGGAAAAUGCAAAUUGAAACCACAAUGAGAUACCACACUAGGCCUGUCAUCAUCAGGCAAUAACAGGGGUUGGUGAGGAUGUAAAAUUGGAGCUCCCAUGGACUGCUGGUGGGAAUGUAACACAGUGCAGCCACUUUGGAAUAGUCUGACAGUUCCUCAAAAAGUUAAACAAAGUUGUCGUAUGACCCAGCAAGUCCACUGCUAGAUAUAUACCCAAGAGAACUGAAAACAUUUGUAUAAAAUGUUUGUGUAAAACAUCCAUAUAAAAAUUUGUACAUGAAUGUUCACAGCAGCAUUAUUUAUAAUAGGAAAAUGUGGACACAACCCAAAUGUCCAUCAACUUAUGGAUGGGUAGAUGGAUGGAUGGAUGGAUGGAUGGAUGGAUGGACGGACAGACAAAAUGUGGUCUCUCCACACAAUGAAAUACUACUCAGGCCAAAAAGAUACACUGAUCCAUGCUACAAGAUGGAUGAACCCUGAAAACACCAUAGUAAGUGGCAGAAGCCGGACACAAAAGGCUACAUAUAAGAUUCCAUUUAUGUUAAAUAUCUGUAACAUUCAUAGAGACAGAAAGAUUAGUAGCAAUUGCCAGAGGCUGGAGAGAGGGAGGAAUGGGGGAGUGGCUACUAACCGGUACAAGGUUUCUUUUGGGUGAUAAAAAUGUUCCGGAAUUAGAUAGUGGUAAUGGUUGCACAAUCUUGCAAAUAUAAUAAAAGCCACCAAACUGUACACUUAAAAGGCUGA